rnacentral:rRNA from 1 species
ACAUACGACCAUAGGGUGUGGAAAACAGGGCUUCCCGUCCGCUCAGCCGUACUUAAGCCACACGCCGGUGAGUUAGUAGUUGGGUGGGUGACCACCAGCGAAUCCUCACUGUUGUAUGUUUC